ACCGACAUCAGCGACUCGUUCUGCGAACCGUGGCCCACCGCCAGAUAAGCAUUCAUUCCCAGUUCACGCAUCUGCUGUUCGCCAAUCACGCGGGUAAUGACAUUUGUGCUGUAGCUGUCGGCUAACUGACGCGCCUGCGACGCCAGGUAGGCGGCGUUACAGAUAUUGGGCGGCAUGUUGCCGAGAUCUUUCGC
rnacentral:antisense_RNA from 1 species